CUGAAGCGGCACAACAGAGGCUGACAAGAGGGAAAUCUCAGUCAAACCGCAGGAAGGAAUCUACUACUACAACUAGGAGAAAAGCCAGUAAAAAUUCAGGGCUGGACUCUGGCAGUAAAAAAUCAGAAGAGCCAGCACCUGUCAAUACAAGACCGUCAAGAAGAGCCAAGACUGCAGCUAUGGAUAAAACAAAAAUGAAUCUCUCAAAGCUUCUUAAUGAACAAAAUUAGUGCACAUGCUUUUUCUUAAUUGGUUAGCAUAUGAUUUCUU